rnacentral:tRNA from 1 species
GCCGGGAUGGCGGAAUCGGUAGACGCAGUGGACUCAAAAUCCACCGCUGGUAACAGUGUGCGAGUUCGAGUCUCGCUCCCGGCACCA